UGUUUGUGGAGAUGAAUGACCUUGAUAAAU
rnacentral:piRNA from 1 species